rnacentral:rRNA from 1 species
GAGUGAAGAGGGAAGAGCUCAAAUUUAAAAUCUGGCCUUUUUCAGGGGUCCGAGUUGUAGUUUAGAGAAGUGCUAUCCGCGUUGGCCCAUGCAUAAGUUUCUUGGAAAAGAACAUCAUAGAGGGUGACAAUCCCGUCUUUGGCAUGGAAUACCAGGGCUUUAUGUGAUAUGCUCUCGACGAGUCGUGUUGUUUGGGAAUGCAGCACUAAAUGGGUGGUAAAUUCCAUCUAAAGCUAAAUAUUGGCGAGAGACCGAUAGUGAACAAGUACCGUGAGGGAAAGAUGAAAAGAACUUUGAAAAGAGAGUUAAACAGUACGUGAAAUUGUUGAAAGGGAAACGCUUGAAGUCAGUCAUGUCUUCCAGGGAUCAAGUUGCCUUUUGGGUGACCGUACUUUCUGGUUGAUAGGUCAGCAUCAAUUUUAAUCAUUGGAUAAAGAUCUUGGGAAUGUGGCAUCUUUGGAUGUGUUAUAGACCUUGAUUGGAUAUAAUGGUUAGGAUUGAGGAACUCAGUAUGCCUUCAUGGUUGGGGCUCUGUUGCUCACAUUGCAUGCUUAGGAUGCUGGCAUAAUGGCUUUAAUCGACCCGUCUUGAAACACGGACC